rnacentral:lncRNA from 1 species
GAAUUUUCUUUAUUUAAAAAUAAUAAAAAGACAAGUACUUAGAAAUCAAAGAGCAUUUAUAAAUUCAUGAAAUGUUUAACUAUUCAAAGGAAAAUUUUGGCAUAAAUUAAAAUGGAUGAAAGCAAGUGCUAAGAAGAUCAAAACCCUAGAACAUAAAUUGCAUAAAAGAAAAUUUAAUAUAUUGCAUCAAAGAAGAAUUAAAAGAUUGCAU